rnacentral:rRNA from 1 species
UACGAAGGGGGCUAGCGUUGUUCGGAAUUACUGGGCGUAAAGGGCGCGUAGGCGGUGUGUCAAGUCAGGCGUGAAAGCCCCGGGCUCAACCUGGGAACCGCGCUUGAGACUGGCACGCUAGAGUUCGGGAGAGGAUGGUGGAAAUUCCCAGUGUAGAGGUGAAAUUCGUAGAUAUUGGGAAGAACACCGAUGGCGAAGGCAGCCAUCUGGACCGACACUGACGCUGAGGCGCGAAAGCGUGGGGAGCAAACAGGAUUAAGAAA